rnacentral:rRNA from 1 species
UCAGUUCGGAUCGGAGUCUGCAACCCGACUCCGUGAAGCUGAAUUCGCUAGUAAUCGCGCAUCAGCCAUGGCGCGGUGAAUACGUUCCCGGGCCUUGUACACACCGCCCGUCAAGCCAUGGGAGCCGGGGGUGCUUGAAGUGCGUCGCCGCAAGGCGCGCCCUAGAGCAAAACCGGUGACUGGGGCUAAGUCGUAACAAGGUAGC